ensembl:lncRNA
AAAUGAUUCAGUCUCCAUGGCCCAAUUUACCUACCACACGUCCCUCAUGAAGCAGGUGCCAGGGAGCAUGAAAUGUUUGAUACCUGGAAGGCUGAUCUGGGCUGGAACAAUUUCCAAGAAUGACUGUGCCUGAUAUUCUCUCCCUGAUAACCAGACAUAUAGCAAGUGUAACAGGAAAUGAUGUUAAAUACCUCAGGCUUUCACAGAAUUGAGUCUUCAAAGUCAGUAUCAAUAUUUUUAUUGUUUUGUUCAGGACAGAUUACAUCCUCUCUUACGGUCACUUCACUUGAAUAAGUUUGAAAUGAUCAAGAUAGCAACGGGAAGAGAGGAAAGCAGGUUGCCACAUGGGGCUUGGAAGAACUGACUGUCUUGUUAGGGUGCGGUUGGAUAUCAGACCUCAGGUUGCACUCUAAGAUAAAACAGUGUUACUUGCUCACACAUUACACGAUUGACCUCUUACCAUGAGUGAGGACUGCUCUGGCCAGAAAGGGAAUCAGAAGAGUCCUGGUACAAAAAAAAGUCCAUCUAGAGAGCUGCAAUUAUGAAGUUAAUGGAGUAGUCAAAUACUACAACGUUGAAUGUACCCAAGAACCUGCAAACCUAUGCUGUCUGCCUAAGCAAUCUGCAUUAUGUGCUGGCAGCUAUGGCUCCUGUGGAAUUUAUGUUCUGAGCACUGAGGAAGAGCAUCUCCCCCUGAAGUCACCUAGCACUGAUUUCACAUUCUGGCUAUCCU